rnacentral:RNase_MRP_RNA from 1 species
UGGGGUUAAACUCCCCGGACGCAAGGGUAGAGAGUACCAGCUAGAAACAGCCGCCGGCGUGGAUGCCGAUCCUGCGAAGACGGUCGCC